GACGAACGCUGGCGGCGUGCUUAACACAUGCAAGUCGAACGGAAAGGCCCUGCUUUUGUGGGGUGCUCGAGUGGCGAACGGGUGAGUAACACGUGAGUAACCUGCCCUUGACUUUGGGAUAACUUCAGGAAACUGGGGCUAAUACCGGAUAGGAGCUCCUGCUGCAUGGUGGGGGUUGGAAAGUUUCGGCGGUUGGGGAUGGUCUCGCGGCUUAUCAGCUUGUUGGUGGGGUAGUGGCUUACCAAGGCUUUGACGGGUAGCCGGCCUGAGAGGGUGACCGGCCACAUUGGGACUGAGGUACGGCCCAGACUCCUACGGGAGGCAGCAGUGGGGAAUAUUGCACAAUGGGCGGAAGCCUGAUGCAGCAACGCCGCGUGCGGGAUGACGGCCUUCGGGUUGUAAACCGCUUUCGCCUGUGACGAAGCGUGAGUGACGGUAAUGGGUAAAGAAGCACCGGCUAACUACGUG
rnacentral:rRNA from 1 species